AUUGAACGCUGGCGGCAUGCCUUACACAUGCAAGUCGAACGGUAACAGGUCUUCGGAUGCUGACGAGUGGCGAACGGGUGAGUAAUACAUCGGAACGUGCCCGAGAGUGGGGGAUAACGAGGCGAAAGCUUUGCUAAUACCGCAUACGAUCUCAGGAUGAAAGCAGGGGACCGCAAGGCCUUGCGCUCACGGAGUGGCCGAUGGCAGAUUAGGUAGUUGGUGGGAUAAAAGCUUACCAAGCCGACGAUCUGUAGCUGGUCUGAGAGGACGACCGGCCACACUGGGACUGAGGCACGGCCCAGACUCCUACGGGAGGCAGCAGUGGGGAAUUUUGGACAAUGGGCGCAAGCCUGAUCCAGCCAUGCCGCGUGCAGGAUGAAGGCCUUCGGGUUGUAAACUGCUUUUGUACGGAACGAAAAGACUCUGGUUAAUACCUGGGGUCCAUGACGGUACCGUAAGAAUAAGCACCGGCUAACUACGUGCCAGCCGCCGCGGUAACAC
rnacentral:rRNA from 1 species